UAAGUUAUAAAAUCUACAGACAUUACACUAAAUUGAUCUUGUUCAGAUAUAUCAAGACUAAAGAUAAUACAAGAAAGAUUAGAAACUAAACAAUUCCCCACAAAGAAACAAUCAAGAAGCUAACUUUGAAUGAAUUACCCGGCUCCGAUUUUUCAAUUGAUGAUUAAGAACUGACCCUUUACUCAAAAAUAAAAAAGAAGCUCUGAAACUCCAAAAUCAGCUUCUCAUUCAGCUCAAAUAAGCACUUCAAUACUGAUCUGAGAUUUCCGUGAAAUGGGUAUUUAAAAAAAAAACCUAAAAGCUACACUAAAACCUUGCUUCUCAAUCCAGCUUUCGAGCUGGAAAAGUAAACCCCAAGUUAGUUUUAGGCUAUUAAAAUGAUAGAAGUAGCGCAAUUCCCGUGAAGAAACUCCCAAAGAGCUCGAAGAUCCACCACCCCUUAUUAUAUGGAGUAUAUAUGAAGCGUUGACCAUGAGGGUUGUAGUGAUGGUGGGUUAGGUUUACGAUGACGAGAGGAGAGAUCAGCUCGAAUUGUGGGAAUAG
rnacentral:lncRNA from 1 species